rnacentral:rRNA from 1 species
GAUGAACGCUAGCGGCAGGCCUAAUACAUGCAAGUCGAACGGUGUCUUCGGACAUAGUGGCGCACGGGUGCGUAACACGUAUGCAACCUACCUUACAUUGGGGGAUAGCCUUUCGAAAGGGAGAUUAAUACCGCAUAAGACAGUAGCUGGGCAUCCAGCAGCUGUUAAAGAUUUAUCGAUGUAAGCUGGGCAUGCGUCCAAUUAGCUAGUUGGGGAUGUAACGACUCAACAAGGAAAUGAUUGGUAGGGGAACUGAGAGGUCAAUCCCCCACACUGGCACUGAGAUACGGGCCAGACUCCUACGGGAGGCAGCAGUAGGGAAUAUUGGGCAAUGGACGCAAGUCUGACCCAGCCAUGCCGCGUGCAGGAUGAAGGCGUUAUGCGUUGUAAACUGCUUUUAUACAGGAAGAAACGACUCUUGCGAGAGGCAUUGACGGUACUGUAUGAAUAAGCACCGGCUAACUCCGUGCCAGCCGCCGCCGUAACAC